UGCUUGUUGGCAUCUUCAUUAACCAUUCUGGUGAAAGGUUAUCUCUCCAGUUGAUUGAUUAUGCUAGGACGCAGUUGAAAACUCGUCACAUUUAUCAGUUGGUUGCAAGGUAAGAGGAACAAUUCCAGGGAAGGUGUAUGAGUUAUCCCUGUAAAGACUCUGAGUCACUAUUACAUCAACAAAUAACAAUUACUACCAAUUCUCAAGGGUAUUUUCUCCCAAGUCCUUGGUGAGAAAACC
rnacentral:lncRNA from 1 species